AAGAUGAAGAGAAGGGUGGAUUUAUUGACAAGGUGAAGGACUUCAUUCAAGACAUAGGUGAAAAGAUUGAGGGAGCAAUUGGAUUUGGGAAGCCAACUGCAGAUGUUACUGAAAUUCACUUCCCCACAAUCAACCUUGAGAAAGCCGAGAUUGUUGUUGAUGUGCUUAUUAAAAACCCAAAUCCUGUUCCGAUCCCUCUCAUUGACAUCAACUACUUGAUCGAGAGUGAUGGAAGGAAACUUAUUUCGGGGUUGAUCCCAGAUGCUGGAACUAUUCGUGCACAUGGCGAGGAGACCGUCAAAAUCCCAAUUCAUCUGGUUUAUGAUGAUAUUAAAAAUACAUAUGAUGACAUUAAGCCUGG
rnacentral:lncRNA from 1 species